rnacentral:rRNA from 1 species
CCUACGGGUGGCAGCAGUGGGGAAUAUUGGGCAAUGGGCGCAAGCCUGACCCAGCAACGCCGCGUGAAGGAAGAAGGCUUUCGGGUUGUAAACUUCUUUUCUCAGGGACGAAGCAAGUGACGGUACCUGCGGAAUAAGCCACGGCUAACUUCGUGCCAGCAGCCGCGGUAAUACGUAGGUGGCAAGCGUGAUCCGGAUUUACUGGGUGUAAAGGGCGUGUAGGCGGGAAAGCAAGUCAGAUGUGAAAACCAUGGGCUCAACCGGUGGCCUGCAUUUGAAACUGUUUGUCUUGAGUGCAGGGGAGGCAGACGGAAUUCCUGGUGUAGCGGUGAAAUGCGUAGAUAUUAGGAGGAACACCAGUGGCGAAGGCGGUCUGCUGGACAGCAACUGACGCUGAGGCGCGAAAGCGUGGGGAGCAAACAGGAUUAGAUACCCCAGUAGUC